rnacentral:lncRNA from 1 species
UAGUUUAUUUUUGAAACUGGUUUUUUUUGUUUGUUUGUUUUUCAAGAUUUCGCUUUUCCUAUGAAGUCAUUCAUUUAAUUAUACUGAAGACGAUAACACGUGUUUUAUGUUUAUCUAUAGGGGAGAGUGAUGAUACUUGUUACGAAGGAGACAUGUUACACUGCGAAUAACUUUGAAAUGUAAAGUUAUGUAACCACCCUUUUCUUCUACAAUUAAAUGUAUAUGUAAUUAUAUGAAUUUGCUUUAUGGUGACAAACUGUAAUAAAAAGUAAAAUAAGUGCUUUAAUAUAACAAAUAGAAGUUUUAAACAUGUUUCCUCCUGUUGUAACAUGUCUAAUCCUACCUAGUAUCAUCUCUACUCCUACCCUGCAUCACGUCUCCUCCUGGUGUAUCAAGUAUCCUACUUUUGGUUUCGAAAACAACAAUAAGUGACUAUUAAUUAUUACACUACAUCAAAAAUAAUAUGGAAUUAUUUGUCUUAGAUGAUAAGAGUAAUGUAUCGGAGUCUUUGGAUAAUGCUUUAGUCUGUAAGCUCUGCAACCUGUCCUUCAAGGAAGCAGACGAUCUUUUUGAGGAUGCGAUGAUUCAUUUUCAAUGGAAUAAAAAUAAUGCCUUAUAAAACAUAAAUCUUAGAGUCUGAGUUACUUAAAAGGAUGCUCAAAUUUAAGAUACUCUUGCUCUCCAAAUCUCUGGAAAUUCAAUCCAUAUUUAGAAAUUAAUGCUGAUGCAUCAACGUUCGGAUUUGGCAUCUCCUUUUCUG